UGUUAUGUCUGUAUGUGCCAGUGGGUACAUGAGUAUACAGGCUACAUUCCAUGAUGGGGAAUGGUGGGAGAUUCCCAGGAAUGACCAUUAGAAACAGAAUCUCCAACCUGUUAGCCCAGUGUAAGAAUGCUUGGUGGAGCAGCUGUACCCACAGGAGGACUGGCACGUGUCACUGACAGAUGAAGGAGUAUGACAGAAGGCGACCAUUCCAGCACCAACGGGAGGAAAGAAAAAAGAAUGAGAUCCUGAUAACCCGGCACAGCUCUCUCCAGAGCCAACUGAGAAUCACUGCAGACAGAUUUCCAGCAUGAGAUGCUCCAGGAGCAUCAAGGAGAACGGACCAGGAUUCCUCUGAUGGGCCAAACUAUUCUUCCUACUCUCCCCUUCAGUCCCUUCAUUUCCCUUGCUAGGAUUUGGUCUGAUCUAUGGGGGAAAGUGUUUUCUAUCAGGGUCCUUAGGCUCCUGGUUGGAAGGGAGACAAUCGCUUACUGGCGCCAAGGGUGCGCUACACUUCUCUGUCCAUCCCCUUCUUACUGUGGUGACUCAGUAGGGGAGCGCUGACAUUAGAACGGAGUUUCCUUCACUGGCGGGGAAAAUUACGUUGCGCAAACUCGCGCAUGCGCAGUACGGCCUCAGAAGCCAGGCGCGUCUCCUCCCCUCAGUGCGUGCCGCCAUUUUGGAUUAGUGGCGCAUCGUUUUCGCGUGCAUUCGCUGAGACGCUGAGAGACAAGGCACAGCACGCAGGGGCACAGGGAUCCACUCGGUCCUCUCCAGGUUUCAGAACAAACUACUCCUCCUUCCCUGCCUAUUCCAUCGCAGGUUAGCGUGUAGUUAUUAAUCUCUGUGGGUGGGGGACGCUCUCCUUGACCUAGCAAUUAAGCUACCUUGCCACUUUUAGCCAUCAUCAUGUCUGAUGGGCCAAGUGAGGGUCUCUUUUUCAGGGCUACACCCACUGCCUCUGUUACUUAUUUGGCCUGUGCCAAAUGCUGCAAACGUUUAACAAGAGGCCACAAAUGUGUUACUGAACCUCCAGUAUCUACUCCACCUCAGAAUCAGGCUAAUCAAGGGGAAUCCCCAGCUUCUAGCAGACCGGCUUCCCCACUCAGAGGGCAUUCCACUCCAGAAUGGGCAUCCCAAUUGGCCACUGGACUUCCUAAAUUAGCUCAGUCCCUGGACAAGCUGCUUGCCCGUCUAGAUAAUCCUAGACCAAGGUCUUCUAAGCGCAGGGCUCCCUCUCCGUCUGAUGAAGACAGUAUUACGCCUCCCA